rnacentral:rRNA from 1 species
UACGAAGGGGGCUAGCGUUGCUCGGAAUGACUGGGCGUAAAGGGCGCGUAGGCGGUUUGUACAGUCAGGUGUGAAAUUCCCGGGCUCAACCUGGGGGCUGCACUUGAUACGUAUGGACUGGAGUGGGGAAGAGGGUCGUGGAAUUCCCAGUGUAGAGGUGAAAUUCGUAGAUAUUGGGAAGAACACCGGUGGCGAAGGCGGCGACCUGGUCCUUGACUGACGCUGAGGCGCGAAAGCUAGGGGAGCAAACGGG